rnacentral:rRNA from 1 species
GAUUUGUAUUAAAAUCUCAACAAUUUGUACGUUCUACUUUCGUGGUACAAUUUGAUCCGUAAAAGAUGGGGUAAAUGUAUAUUUCUAAUAAAUUUUGCCUCGAUGCCAAUAAAUCAAUACUUAAUUUCGUAAAACCGUAGCGUAUCCUCGUUUAAUAUACGUUUGUUGUAAAAUUUGUAAAAAUUGUACCUACUUUUACUGUAUAUUACUUUGAUCUACUUUUUGAUUCGUAUAAAGUAUAUAUUAAGUAAAAUUAGGCUACGUGUUUAACACUCAAUAAUAUACGUACAACACGUUCCCCAAAAGACUUUUUGACGUCAGAGACCUUAUUAUAGAUUUAAACAAGGUGCCUCUUUUUUCCUUAGCCCGACGUAGACUCUAACCCGGGUUGUCUUCCUUUUGUUGUUGUUGUUUUUUUUUUUCCCGCGAGCCCACACCGGAGUUGGUCACCCGACUCCGGAUCAGCCAACCAAUGACCCGAUGUCGACCUCUCGCGUCGACCCGGAACCUCGGGUGGUCUACAUGCGCAUGCCUGCGCCGCGUCAGUUGCGUCCGCAGCUCUGACAGCAGGAGGAGAGCUGUCUCCGGCGUGCCCUGAACCCCUGCUCGUGAGGACGAGCUUCUUCUCCUUCGUCUCCAGUCGCCGUCCAAGCCGUCCCUGCCCCUGCUACGAGGCCGCUGCCCGCUGCGGACCCAAGCCUGGGCCGCCGGCCGCGCAACUAGACUUCGUCUCCUCCGUCGCCGCAGCUUCGGGACAUGUACCGCCGUCUCUCUCCCUCGUCUCUCUAAUCCCUCCACCUUCUUCUUCCCUACCUUUUCCUCUUCCCGCCGCUCCCAACCGGAACGGCGCCACCAGAGGUACCGCUCAGCUCCGCCCCGCGUGACGACGACCGGUCGCGCACCCGUUCGAGGACGAGGACCAAGCUCUCCCCCGCGCCCUUUAGCCCCGCUGCACCACGAGACGCCGACCUGCACCCUCCUCCGGUCUCCAGGACGUCCUCUAGGAGAGGCCGCUGCUCCACCCCGAACCACUCCUCGUGCCGUACCUCCCCAGGUAGAGGACAACCCGAGCCUCUCGUCCUGCUUCGUCUCGUCCUCCCCCAAGCUCACCUCGAGCCCCUACUCCCCUCUAGCCCGCGACGACCCGUCUCCUCGAGCCCGAGGACGCCCUAAUCUCGUCGCGCCGAACCAACCUAGCUAACCUUCCUCCUCCUCUAACCGAACACGACUUUUCCUCCCUCAACCAGCACAGCCGACCCACCUCACCUACCUAGACCCUCCUAGAGCUACCUCUACCACCCACCCACCGCCGCCGCCUGUGCCUUACCUA